rnacentral:rRNA from 1 species
CAGUAGCCGCGGUAAUACGUAGGGUGCAAGCGUUAAUCGGAAUUACUGGGCGUAAAGCGUGCGUAGGUGGUGGUUUAAGUCCGUUGUGAAAGCCCUGGGCUCAACCUGGGAAUUGCAGUGGAUACUGGAUCACUAGAGUGUGGUAGAGGAUAGUGGAAUUUCCGGUGUAGCAGUGAAAUGCGUAGAGAUCGGAAGGAACAUCUGUGGCGAAGGCGACUAUCUGGUCUGGCAUUGACGCUCAUGUGCGAAAGCGUGGGGAGCAAACAGGAUUAGAUACCCCUGUAGUCCCUGUCUCUUAUAC